rnacentral:lncRNA from 1 species
UAUCAAUUGAGUUACUUAAGAUUUAAUUAGGAUUUGGUUUAGGAUUAGAAUUUGGUUUAAGAUUUAAGAUUUUUUUAGGAUUUGAUUUAGGAUUUAGGAUUUUGAAUUUAUCUAGGAUUUGGUUUAGGAUUUAAAGCUUAAUUUAGGAUUUAAGAUUUAGAAUUUUUCUAAGAUUUGAUUUAAGGUUUAGGAUUUUUUUAGGAUUUGAUUUAGGAUUUAAGAUUUUUUUAGGGCUUGGUUAAGGAUUUAGGAUUUUUUUUAGGAUUUGAUUUAGGAUUUAGGAUUUUUCUAGGAUUUGACUUAGGAUUUAAGAUUUAUCUAUGAUUUGGUUCACGGUUUAGGAUUUUUUUAGGAUUUGAUUUAGGAUUUAGGAUUUGUCUAAGGUUUGAUUGAAAUCUAUUGGAAUUUCAAUAAGAAUUAAAUUAAAACUUAGUUGAGAUUAAUUUAAAAUAUAUUUUUGAUUAUUCUAAUAUUUUUUAGAAUUUCUUAAGGAUUCUUUUAAGGUUUAUUGUAGAUUUUCUUUCAAUUCCUUUAAGUUUUUUUAUUGUUUCUCUUGUAAUUUCUUUAAGAUUUUUUUUGAAUUUGAUUAAAGCUUGUUUAAUAUUGUUUAAUAUCUAUUUAAUUAGAGUUUAUUUAAUAUUCUAUUAGAGUUAGCAUUUUGUUGUAGCAAUUUCCAUUCUACCUUCCACAGCUAGGUGCUUGGUGCAUUCUCAGACAAAAUUUUACACAAUACAACAAUGAUUUAGCUAAGCCAACAACAAGAUUUAAUAGCUUCAUCAAUCAUAGAUACUAAGUAUAAACUUGCUUACAUUGCUUCUAAGAAAGUAAUAUGG